UACAGAGGUCUCAAGCGUUGUUCGGAUUCAUUGGGCGUAAAGGGCGCGCAGGCGGCUCAUUUUGUCAGGCGUGAAAGCCCCGGGCUUAACCUGGGAACUGCGUUUGAUACGGAUGGGCUAGAGUUCGGGAGAGGAGAGUGGAAUUCCCAGUGUAGAGGUGAAAUUCGUAGAUAUUGGGAAGAACACCGGUGGCGAAGGCGCCUAUCUGGCCCGAUACUGACGCUGAGGCGCGAAAGCGUGGGGAGCAAACAGG
rnacentral:rRNA from 1 species